rnacentral:rRNA from 1 species
UCGUAACAAGGUUUCCGUAGGUGAACCUGCGGAAGGAUCAUUACUGUUUGCUUGCGGCUUCGCCCUUCGGGGUGGAGUUGUAGCAUGCUAUCCUUGCCUAUGUCUACCUGUUGUUAUUCCCUCGGCGGGGAAACCCGCCGUUGGGGACCAAUUCAACUCCAAUGGAAUAGCAUCAAAACUUCUGAAUCAAACAAAAUAAUCACAACUUUCAACAAUGGAUCUCUUGGUUCUGGCAUCGAUGAAGAACGCAGCGAAAUGCGAUAAGUAGUGUGAAUUGCAGACUUUAGUGAAUCAUCGAAUCUUUGAACGCACAUUGCGCCCCUUGGUAUUCCAUUGGGCAUGCCUGUUCGAGCGUCAUUUACACCCUCAAGCUCUGCUUGGUGUUGGGUGCCUGUCCGCGUCUUUGGCGUGGACUCGCCCUAAAGAUAUUGGCAGCGGCUUUGCCAGCUUCUUGCGCAGCACUUUGCGCUCUUGGAGGCUUUGGCGGGCGAGCGUCCAUCAAGAAACCAUCCAGUUUGACCUCGAAUCAGGUAGGGAUACCCGCUGAACUUAAGCAUAUCAAAA